GGGACUGCUGAGAAGGGGUUCGUCACCUCCUCUUGAACUGCAGUCUAGCUUGGAACGUGUAAUUAUGCCUUUGAAAGGAAUCGCGACGCUUCGGGGCAGAUGUGAGGCUUAUUUUUCUGUAAAGCAAGCACGAGUGACAGCACGCCGUCUGCCGUCCUUUGCCCGGACCGUGCCUGAGCUGUCCUCGCAGGUCACAAGGACACACAGCCCACAGCGGUGCUGCCUUCAGAACUUGGGGCCACGUGGACACGCCCGUCUCCGAGCCUGCAGCAGCCACAGGUGACAACUGAGCACUGGGUGCCACAUGGCCGGGGCAACAGGGGAACUCGGUUCAUGGGACUUCGAUCCGUUGAAGCUUCAACGGUGCCUGUGGCUGGAGCGAGAGCCAGGCCCGGGUGCAGAUCCCGGCUGCACUGCUGACCGGGGGUGCCGCGUGGCCCGGCCCUGCCACCCCCCCCCCCCACCCCACCGUGUGCUGGAAUGGUGGGGAGUGGGGGCAGUCACCAGGUCAGCAGCCACCCUGGGGCUCCUGCGGCCCUAGGCGUCCACGUGUUGCUUCGCCUGGGGCGCCGCUAGGAGCUGAGGGCAAGGCUAGGGGGCCCCGUGCUGUGGGUCGCCCCCCCCCCCCCACUGCUCCCCCACCCCCUGCUCGUAGUCCAGCCGCUCCCACCCUCCCUGAGCUGCAGGAAAGCCCCUGCUUUUGUUCUCCUGCAAGUUCCUACAUUUUCCUCACGACAUUGGACAGUCUACAAAACCUAGGAAAAUCAGUUAGUUUAUAAUCUGAUGAAAAUAAGUGGAGAGAAAAAAUGGCUUUUUCUCAUAAAGACUACAGGAAAAUCCGACCUCCCUUUAAAGGACUGACGGACACUGAGGUCACCCCUGCUCUCGUGUCCCCCAGGCUUCAGGAGGGGCCGUGGCCGGGGCCCAAAGUGUGCCAGGCAGAAGCGUCACGUGAGGAGGCCUCGGGGCCACGUUAGGGACGGUCCUUGCCCAGUGCCGGCGGGGGGACCUGCUGGGGUCUUGCGCCCGCCUUGCAAGCCCGGGUGCUGUUAAGGGGCUCUGGAUCACUCAGACGGCUGACCUCACAGCAGCAUGUGCUACCCCAGCAAGUCCACGCGAGACCGGUUGGUGGAAUUCUUCGCAUUAAAGUCAGUCCCGUUCUCCUCAGGACCAGCACGGUAGGUAAAGACCAGCAUGAAGAAGCUGACAAAAUACAGAUGGGGCGCCAUCCAGAAAAACCAAGUAUCUAUCUGGGACACACUCGCGCUCUUGUCGCUCACUCACGUGAGAGGAGUCCCUGUUCACACUUGAGCCCAACAAGCCCGAGGAGCACCGACACCUGUUGCCUUUGCAGCUGGGGCCGGGAGGGGACAGGAGACGGAGCCUGUAGCGCAGAGAAGAGAGGGGAAGGGAACCAGGGUGACAAGGGAGGCCCCCGUGAGCACCGGCCUGAAGGAAGGGAGGGGACGAGCCACGUCUGGGAAGGCGGCUCCGUGGCCUGUGGCCCACCCGGGGGUGGAGGUGAGAACUCGGGAUUUUCUGUGAAGCCACCCGGAAAGCGGCAACCUGGGGACACGAUCGGGUCACCUUCCAGAUUCUGCCAGAGAACGGAUGGGAGAGGAGGGCGCGGAAGAGGAAGCACAGCAGGCGGGAGGCCAUACAGCCAGGGUUCGCGGGCGGACGCCACUGCCUGGGGGAGCGGCCGCUAGAGCCCGGAGGGUUUGCUGCUGCCACGUCUGUCCCUCCUCAGAGACCACAUCCACGCGGGGCAGUACGUGCACUUGACAGAUGGCUAAUUUGGCGAGACUCUCCAGGGGCCCUGCCGGUGGGGGAGGGAGAGGUCUGUGGAGUGGAAGGAUGGGCCCUGCUGCUGUGUAAGUAGCCCGAUGGGACCAGGUCCAGAGUCACAACACCACGGGAGGGCGCCGGCCCUCCCCGCUACCUCGGCUCUGCGAAGCCGGCAGGAGCGUCCAUGCGCCAACACCAAGCUCCGGACUUCAAUUCCUCUCCUGCAGGGGACCUGGCGGCCUCUUCUGUGACUCGAGGGCUAAGGUUGGAGGAUGAUACAGAAAAGCAGAAGGCAGUGCCUGUCCCGUUCCGUCCGAGUCUGGUCUCCAAGCCACCCAGGCCCAUUGCUGCACAUGCCGUGGACCGUCGUGGUGAACCCCGAUUAUCCUGACGUUGCAGCUGAAGAAGGGAAUGGAUCAAGAACGUCCAAGGCCAUGGGUCCAACUCUGUAGGAAGCGGGGCGGGGUCGGCUGGACCUCCCCGGGGUCUCUGCUGUGAAGGCCCAUCAGUGGCGGCGACAGACCGGACCCUGCUGCACAUCAGUUUAACAAGCACAGAUCAGAUUUCUAGGUCUCAUGGGUACAGAGGCCAACGCGACAAAGGCUCUGCUCUAAGAGACCUGGGGCAGCAGCGCUCCUUGGCUGGGGUGACCGUGGCUGCGGGAGCUUCAUCAAUGCCUCCAGGGCCACUGGGCCACAGCACGGGAAGCCAGACGGAUGCGAGUGCACGCUACGUGACCGGGGCAAUAGGACCACAGAUUCUGGUGUCCAGAAGGCAGGCAGGUGAGCAGGGACCCCAACAAAUGCUUGCAGUUGUGGUGCCCCCGCCCAAUGUCCUGCUUCCCGUCCUCCCAUAGGAAAGCUGGUGCCACCUCUGUAUCUCGGUAGAGAACCCAUAACCCGGUCCACCUUCCUUCAUCAGACUUCAGGGAGCAGCGGUUUUCCUGGGGCCCCUCUGGGCGCGAGGGACUCCCCUCCCCAUGCUAACCCACGCCUGCCUGAGACCUGGGUCUCAGAUCUCACACUGAAACACGAGAGCAGUAGGGCAGGUCUAUGCACAGGACACAUCCUGUGCCUUCACCAGCCCUCUGGCAUCUGGAGAGCAUUGGAGAUGCCAGGCAUGGAGAGGACGCCCAGGCCACGGCCAUGGCAAUCCCGUCUGAAGCAUGAUCGGGAACUCGAGGUUCGCUGGUUCACAGGCGUCGCCCACCCUGCAGGCCCCCAUCUCUUCGAGCAACCUCAUGCCAGGAGGGUACAGACGACUCCAUCACCUGCGUGGAUCUGCCCAGCUAUAAAGCCGUCAAGUGUUAGAAUGCUUUUGUGCUCCAGGUGCCCGAAGCCAGGAAGUGAGAAGCCAGAAGGAGGUGUCUCCCUGGGAGUUCGGAAAGGCUGGGCGGGGCUCCGCAGCACAGCCCCCGGAGGAAGCCUCACAGAGGGCUGUGGGGUAGGUCUCUCGGGGCCCCGGCCAUCCUGUUCCCUGCAGCAGACCAUGGCACGCCAGGCUGCCCUCGGAGUGGAGUUUUAAUAGACCCUGGUUUUUGGGGCUGAUGGGUAGGAGGGAGGGCUCCCCAGGACCGUCAAGAUUUGGACAAGCAAAGGCCGAUGUCGCAUUUCCUCCCCUGCUCUCUGGGGGUGCUCCAAGCAGGGCAG